CCACCAACUACCCCUAGAUACAGCCAAUCAGCCAGAGCCACGACCAUCACCACACCAACUGCCCUAGAACCCCAUAAAACCGUUGUGGUAUUGAAACGCGCUCUCUUUCUCUGGCAUCUUGCCACUGCAUUGGUGUAGAUGAGAGAUUGAGCUCGAGCUACCUUGAAUAAAGGCUCUUUGCUUUUGCAUCGGUGUUGGCUCCUUGGUGGUCUUCUGGGAUUCGUGACUUUGGGCACAACAUUUGGGGGCUCGUCUGGGAUCCCAGAGACCCCCAGGACUCCCGACCCAGAGGGCCCUGUGCCAGCUGAAAUAUCCGAAUUUCCUUAAGUCAACUGCCUUACAGGAAGCUCUCAUCAGAUCUUUAACCAUUGUCAUUUAAGCCACAAAACUGCA